AACCUAACUGCCCAACUGAAAUGUUUGGAUUUGAAAGGAUAGCAGGUGCAGGCACUUAACUGAGAAAAUGUUAAGAUCUCCUCAGUUUAAGAAAAUGGACACAAUCCAAUGGAUAUCAAUGAACAAAGAGACUUCACCCCCGUAYACCUCUGAUGAAUAUAACAGGAAACCUGUUUGAUCACCAUGCACUGGAAAAUCAUUCURGCUAUGGAUACGGAGAACAUCAACAUCACCACACUAGAGGACGUACACAUUGGACUUGAGUUUACCUCAUAYUUUGAUUUUUUWWAUUCUG